rnacentral:rRNA from 1 species
AUUGAACGCUGGCGGCAUGCCUUACACAUGCAAGUCGAACGGCAGCACGGGAGCAAUCCUGGUGGCGAGUGGCGAACGGGUGAGUAAUACAUCGGAACGUGCCCAGUAGUGGGGGAUAACUGCUCGAAAGGGCAGCUAAUACCGCAUACGACCUGAGGGUGAAAGCGGGGGAUCGCAAGACCUCGCGCUAUUGGAGCGGCCGAUGUCAGAUUAGCUAGUUGGUGGGGUAAAGGCCUACCAAGGCAACGAUCUGUAGUUGGUCUGAGAGGACGACCAGCCGCACUGGGACUGAGACACGGCCCAGACUCCUACGGGAGGCAGCAGUGGGGAAUUUUGGACAAUGGGGGCAACCCUGAUCCAGCAAUGCCGCGUGCAGGAAGAAGGCCUUCGGGUUGUAAACUGCUUUUGUCAGGGAAGAAAUCCUCUGGGUUAAUACCUCGGGGGGAUGACGGUACCUGAAGAAUAAGCACCGGCUAACUACGUGCCAGCCGCCGCGGUAAGAC